GGACAUAAAACGGCCUUGUGGAUGCACUUAGAUGUCUGCAAUGACUGCUGUGGCUGGCAUGCCUCAGUGUUUUGGACUCCCAUUCUCUGGACUCAGUAGGACAAGAACUGAUCAGCAGAGAACGUCAUGAGCAUAGUCAUCCCAGUGGGGGUGGACACAGCAGACACCUCAUACCUGGACAUGGCGGCGGGCUCAGACAGACCAGAAUCGGUGGAGGCCAGCCCUGUGGUAGUGGAAAAGUCCAGCUACCCACACCAGAUCUACAGCAGCAGUUCACACCAU